UACGAAGGGGGCUAGCGUUACUCGGAUUGACUGGGCGUAAAGGGCGCGUAGGCGGAUGGUACAGUCAGACGUGAAAUCCCGGGGCUCAACCUCGGAACUGCCUUUGAUACUGCAAAUCUCGAGUCCGGAAGAGGUGAGUGGAAUUCCUAGUGUAGAGGUGAAAUUCGUAGAUAUUAGGAAGAACACCAGUGGCGAAGGCGGCGACCUGGUCCGAUACUGACGCUGAGGCGCGAAAGCGUGGGGAGCAAACAGG
rnacentral:rRNA from 1 species